rnacentral:rRNA from 1 species
UACGUAGGGGGCAAGCGUUGUCCGGAAUCAUUGGGCGUAAAGAGCGCGUAGGCGGUCCGGUAAGUCCGCUCUGAAAGUCCGGGGCUCAACCCCGGGAGGCGGGCGGAUACUGUCGGGCUAGAGUCCGGAAGAGGCGAGUGGAAUUCCUGGUGUAGCGGUGAAAUGCGUAGAGAUCAGGAGGAACACCCGUGGCGAAGGCGGCUCUCUGGUCGACAUCUGACGCUGAGACGCGAAAGCGUGGGGAGCGAACGGG